rnacentral:rRNA from 1 species
AUUGAACGCUGGCGGCAGGCCUAACACAUGCAAGUCGAGCGGAUGAGUGGAGCUUGCUCCAUGAUUCAGCGGCUGACGGGUGAGUAAUGCCUAGGAAUCUGCCUGGUAGUGGGGGACAACGUUUCGAAAGGAACGCUAAUACCGCAUACGUCCUACGGGAGAAAGCAGGGGACCUUCGGGCCUUGCGCUCUCAGAUGAGCCGAGGUCAGAUUAGUUAGUAGGUGAGGUAAUGGCCCACCAAGGCGACGAUCCGUAGCUGGUCUGAGAGGACGAUCAGCCACACCGGAACUGAGACACGGUCCGGACUCCUACGGGAGGCAGCAGUGGGGAAUAUUGGACAAUGGGGGAAACCCUGAUCCAGCGACGCCGCGUGGGUGAAGAAGGCCUGCGGGUUGUAAAGCCCCUUCGGUAGGGACGAAAGCUCUUGCUCUAACAAGGCAGGAGGUUGACUUAACCUACAUAAGAAGCACCGGCUAACUCUGUGCCAGCCGCCGCGGUAAGAC